CUCCUGAGCAGCAGCAGCAGCUGAGGGAUUAGGGGAAGAAAAACCUGUUGGAAACAUGAAAAUAGCUGGGUCAACAGGCAGAGGAGCAUCAAAAAUCUACGUUUAUAUGCCUGCGUGUUCGUAGGAGAGAAGGUGGCAAUGCUAGAGGGGGAAGGGAAGAAAAAAGGAGAAACAGAGCGAGAAGGGACCACCUCUGAAGCUAGGAGCAUUGCCGAAGGCAAACCAAGCAGCAGUGAGAUCACAAAUGACAUCAUAACAAGGGCUUUGUUAUGCUAUCAGCAGCGAAGGGGCUGCUUUGCUGGACGUGAGAGGGCCAAGGCAAAGAUGGUAACAGCCACACACGUGAAGAAGGUACUCUUUGCCCAUAUUGGAGAUGGUGUAUGAAGAAACAAACAACAACAACAAUUGCUGAAGCCAAGCAAAGUGCAGAUUCUGUUAAGACACUGGCAGGUAAGACCAUCACUCGAGGCUGAACCCAGUGACACAGUGGAGGACAUAAAAGCCAAGAUUCAAGACAAGAAGCGUGUCCUGGCUCACCACCAGUGCCUGGUUUUUACAGGCAAACAGCUAGCGGAUGGCCUACCCUCUGGGACUAUAGCAUCCCAAAGGAGUGUCUACAUUAUCCCUGGCGCUGAGUCUGUGGGGUGGCGCCUCUGAAGCGCCCCAAUGCCAGCUCCUGCAAUGCUCUAGCUAUGAAAAAGGGAACCCAGAGCUUGCCUGCACCACUCUCCAUGGCUGUGGCCGCCCGUAAACUGAGUGAGAAGAAAUGCAGCCCAGGCAGAAGAUCAGCCUUCCCUCACCUCAGCCUCAAGGGCAGCCUCCAUCCCAGCCUUGCGUCCCUGGAUCAUAAUAGUUUCUUUUCCAUGGACUGGGGGGGAGGGGGCUGAAGGCAGAAGGGAAUAAGGACUAUCCAAGAGACCUGCAAGGAUGAUUUGUAGAGUGGUCCCGGAGGUGGCGCAGUGGUAAAGCUUUGGACUCUCAAGCAUGAGGUCCCGAGUUCCAUCCCCGGCAGCACAUGUGCCAGAGUGAUGUCUGGUUCUUUCUCUCUUUCCUCCUUUCUCAUUAAUAAAUAAAAUCUUUA